UGCCAGAAACAAAUGUUUCAUUAAUAUUUCUAUGGUCGAAGUGUUGCACUUACUUCGCCUUUAUCUUUCUUUGCUCAAUAAGAAAUCAUCAAAUCAACGAGUUCUUUCCUUAGCCGUUGCUCAACAAUUUGAAUUUGCAAAGUGCAAAGGAAAGACGGUGAACCUGGCGUUCAAACGGAUAAGAAAGAGAGUAUUGAGGUAUGCUUGAAGUCGUGCAGUGAUUUUGUGAACAUUUGUGUGUGAUUUAAUGCACCAGCGCUUGCACUGUCGUGGAAGUGCGUACGGACCUUUGCAAUCUAAAGCACCGUCCACUGGAAUUUAUGUUACCAGGCAGGUCAGCAUGAAAAUUUCAUCACCAGCACUGACGAUGUGGAGGGUGAAUGGACAGAGUUCGAGCGUCAUAUGGUACACUUUAGACAGGUUGAGAACUGGAAGUGGUCUUUACUGUGUCUCGUGGUACAACACUCAUUUCUGGAAUUGGCGCGGCUUGCAGUCGUGAGAAGCUCUUGCCCUCGGUAUUAGCAGAAGGUGAAGAUGUGCUGCAGGAAGCUCUACACUGCACAAUGCACGCUGGCAAGUCACUGUCCAUUGCAACUAUUGUCGUGGCCAUUCACACUUUCACUUUGAAGAAUGAGUGUGUUGAAGCAGGUAAAAAUUGUAAGAGGUCUGUCUAAAAGUAUCAGACGUUUGAUUUGAGCAAAGAUACUGCUUCAGUUUUGACAAAAGCUUGGUGAUUCUCAACGCGAAACAAUUUGUAAGAUUCAGCAGGUAUUCGGAGAAGAUGCGAUGGAUGUAACACAAAUUAAGGAGUGGUUCAACCAAUUCAAAAAUGGCUUCACAUCAGCGGAGAGUGACCAUCAUUCCGACAGGCCCCAAAAUGCUUGGAGUGCAGCUGUUGAAAGGGUGCAAAAUUUGGUGAGGGCACAUAAUCAUUUGACCGUGUGGGAGAUUGCCCGAGAGGUUGGAGUGAGUAAAGAUUCUGCACAUGCAAUUUUGGAUGAUUUGAAUAUGCACAGAGUAGCUGCGAAAUUCUUGCCCAAGUUGUUGUCGCCUGAACAAAACGACCUCCUUUUUGACGUUGCGCAGUAUCUUCUGGACACCACCUACACUGAUCCUGGCUUUCUGAGCACUGUGAUAACUGGAGAUGAGUUAUGGGUGUACGGGUAUGACCCAGAAACAAGACAAUCAUCACAAUGGAAGCAUCCUGAGUCUCCAAGGCUGAAGAAAGUGUGGCAGGUGCAAAGCAAAAUCAAGGUGAUGCACAAUUCCACAGACUUCGAAGAAGACAGUCAGCAUUACGAAUACACACGGGAAGGACAAACAGUGACAAAGGAGUACUAUCAAUAUGUUUUCCGGUGACUCCAUGGCGCAUUCAGCGCAAAAGUCCAACAUGGACUGUGAAAAACUGGCAACUGUAUCACAAUACCCCCCGCACAUUCAUCCUAUUAGAUCCAAAAUUUCUCGGCCAAAUGUGGAAUUAAAGCCGGUUCGCCAACCUCCCCACUCUCAAGACAUGGCUCCUUGUGACUUGUGGUUGUUUCCAAAAUUGAAGACACCACGGAAAGGAUCCCAUUUGAGAGUAAAGAAGAGAUACAGUGGAACACGACGAUGGAGCUGAACACCAUUCCAAAAGACUUCCAGAGGUGUUUCUGGCAGUGAAAGGAUCGAUGACCAAGUGUGUGCAAGCACAAGGGGCCUACUUUGAAGGGGAUUAGGGUCCCAACCCCGUCAGGUGUUCGAAAUAUUUUUUCUGGCUGAAGGUCAGAUACUUUUUAGACGGGCCUUGUAGUUAUUGAGGUGUUUGCAGACUAUUUACAAUGUGAAACUGUCAGGUUUCAUUGAAGGAAAUGCUGAUAUUAAUUAGAGAUGAUAAAUGAAAGGAAUGUGGAUUCAGGUCCCUCCUUUCAUGUCCCAUUAUGGAACAGGUCCAGCAAUGUUCAUAGAAGAUGCAGAAGUAUUUGAUGUUUUUAAUAUAAAUUACUUUCCUUUGAACCAGCAAAAAAUAUUUGUUUCAGUUAAAAUGCCUUUUGCAUACUGAAAAUUAAUGUAUUUAGUUACCCAAGUGCAUCUUGCUUGUGUUAACAUGCCAUUGUUGCUGUGUGUCCUGAUAUGUUGGCUUACCAAUGUUGAUUUUAGGUUUAGUGUUUACAUAUAAAUUUUAAUGUAAAAAGAAAAUUAGAAGUGGCUCAUUUCCUUCAACU